AUUGAACGCUGGCGGCAUGCCUAACACAUGCGAGUCGAACGGAUGAAGGGAGCUUUGUCCUUGGUGCAGCGUCGGACGGGGGAGUGAUAUCUAUGAAACUGCGUGCUGUUGGGGGAGAAAGUCCGGAAACGGGCGGUAUUACCGCGUACAUGCUGAAGGGGAGAGAGGGGGGGCUUCUGAGCCCACGCGCUCAGGUGAUGGUAGGUCGGAUUAGCUAGUUGGUGGGGUAAAGGCCUACCAAGGCGACGAUCCGUAUCUGGUCUGAGAGGACGACCAGUCACACUGGGACUGAGACACGGCCCAGACUCCUACGGGAGGCAGCAGUGGGGAAUUUUGGACAAUGGGCGAAAGCCUGAUCCAGCAAUGCCGCGUGUGUGAAGAAGGCCUUCGGGUUGUAAAGCACUUUUGGCCGGAAGGAAAGCCAGUAAGCUAAUACCUUCCUGUUAUGACGUUACCAGAAGAAUAAGCACCGGCUAACUUCGUG
rnacentral:rRNA from 1 species